rnacentral:rRNA from 1 species
CCUACGGGUGGCUGCAGUCGAGAAUCUUCGGCAAUGGGCGCAAGCCUGACCGAGCGACGCCGCGUGUGGGAUGAAGGCCCUUGGGUUGUAAACCACUGUCAGAGGGGAUGAAGUGCCAGCCAGCAAUCUGGUUGGUUUGACAUAGCCUCAGAGGAAGCACGGGCUAAGUUCGUGCCAGCAGCCGCGGUAAUACGAACUGUGCAAACGUUAUUCGGAAUCACUGGGCUUACAGGGUGCGUAGGCGGCUUGUUAAGUCUGGUGUGAAAGCCCCCGGCUCAA